rnacentral:lncRNA from 1 species
UUUCCUGAGGCUGCCGCCCGCGUCCCCUGCCGAGUUCCAGGAACGCCCCCGCCCCCAGCACACACCACCCCUGCCCCGCCCCCGUCCCCAGGGCCCACUUCGUGGCCAAUGCAGACUCCCAGGGCCCCACAAGCACUGCUCCCGUCACCGGCCAGGUGCUCUUUGGAACCCAGCAACUUUGCUAACAUUCACUAAGGGAAAUGCUGGGGAAGUUACUUCCACUUGGGGAAGCUCACAGCUCGGCAAACUUGAAGACAUUCAAAGGCAAGGGCAGGAGUUCCCGUCAUGGCACAGUGGAAACAAAUCCGACUAGGAACCACGAGGUGGCGGGUUCAAUCCCUGCCCUUGCUCCGUGGGGUAAGGAUCUGGCGUUGCCGUGAGCUGUGGUGUAGGUUGCAGACGUGGCUCGGAUCCUGCAUUGCUGUGGCUGUGGCAUGGGCCGGCGGCUGCAGCUCCGAUUCGAUCCCUAGCCUGGGAACCUCCAUAUGCCACAGGAGCGGCCCUAGAAAAGGCAAAAAGAAAAAAAAGAAAAGAACUGCCUAAAGACAAUGUAGCAGCCUGUUCCCCGUGGCAAAGAGGUCUACAAAGUAAAUACUGCUCAGCAGACGGCAGGUCCCAUCAGCGGAAUCCAUGUGCAACACGGAGACCCCUGCAACUGCUAAAAAGAUGAGUGAGACUCUGCCAGCGAAGCGGGAGUGACCGCCGUGGGGGCGAGGUGUGCACGCGCUCUAGUGAGUCUGGUGCGCAGAAGCGAAGUCUUUCUAGUUGUACAGAUAUUCGUGUCUGUUGAGGAGGCGGAAGUGUGGACACACAUUUGUCAGGUUUUCAGGACCAGCCUCUGCUCCCUCCCUCCACCUCUGCUCUCCGAAGCAGACCGGGAGCCUUUUGAGGCACGUGGGGAAGCUCCCUGUCUGACCAUCCGCCCCAAAGGCCACCCCGAGAUCCUGGCCUCCGAAGGUAAAACAGCCGCUAGACACUCGUGAAGGGGUCCUGAGGGGCCAGGAGAUCUCUCGUUUGGACUGACACCCUCUCUUGCCAAGACUGCUCCGGUUCACAGGUGGGUUGAAGCUCACGGUACUGGCAGGAAUCCCUCACGACCCGGGGUCAGGUUGGGAAGCUGGUUCCAAGCCCGAACGUGCGCGGACCCGUCUCCUGAGACGUGUCCUCCAUGAACCAGCCGGCGGCUGGAAUGGGCGCUUAGGUGCGUCUGAGCCUCACCCGCUGGGGUUCAAGCUGAGGUUCGUCAGGGCUGACCCCGGCACCAGCUAGAGUUUCGCAGACACAUCUGGAACGCCAGUGCUCGGGAGGGCUGACGUUUCUGCGGCGUCAGAGGGCGAGGAUCGGGAUGCAGCAGGUGUUUGGAACGCUCCGUGUGGGACAUGGGGGCCACUCUCUGCUUCCCGCGCCCCCAGGCUCUCAGCUGGACUGUUUACUCUUGUGUGUGACGACAGCGUGGCGGCGGUUACUGUCUCUGGGUAACGAGUUCCGCAGGUGCCUUCUGCAUUAGGCAUGAGAUGCCAGGCGCUGGCGAUGUGUGUCUGGUCUCUAUCACGCGUCAAGGUAGAGAUGCAGCAGGGAGCUGAUGACUUCAGUCCUCGGAGCACCCUCGGGGCUUGUAAUUUGCUGCUCCGGACCAUCCGAUACGAUAGGGCGAUGCGGAGAAGGAGAGCCCAUGGCAAGGAUCCCUGGUGCAGAGCUGAGCCGUGACCCUGCUCCCCACGCCUGUGGAGGGGGCUGCAGGUGGGGUGCUUCCCAGCCACCCUGCCUUAGGUGGGCCGGGUCAGCGGCUUUGGCUGUGACUUUGAUUCUGAUGUGAUUCAGAAUGUGUCAUGGGCUGAACGGUGUCCCCUGAGACAGGCUGGGACCUUAGCUGCCAUGCCUGCACCUGGACAAAUGUCCUCUCGAGACACAAAACACAGACAAACCGUAAGGGACACUCGUGCACGUGGGGGGAAAUCGUGGACAGCAAAAAAAAUGCACAAAAGACCGAAAGCCCAACCGCCGCUUGGAGGAGCCAGGAGCAAAGGCAGCGCGUGCCCCCUGCACACGGCACAGCUAAAGGGGGGGCAUACCACCCAAGCCAGCCCUCUGCCCUGCCCUGGACACCCCCCCCACGUAGGAGGCCAGCCCCCACCCCCUCAGGGGCGAGGGAAGCUGGUGCUUGUUUUCAGUGCCUGCUGCAGCCUAAAUUGCUUGUCUGGCUUCUUACUAAUUUCAGUUAACUGGGAAGAACCCUGGCCAGUAACACCCCGAAUUCCUAUGAAGGCCUCAUGCCUGGAUCUCAGAAUGUGCUCCUGUUUGGAAAAGGUCUUCGGGGGUAGCUGAGGUUAAACGAGGUCCCACGGUGCCUUCUGAUCCAGCAGGACCCGGGAAGUUAGGGCACAGACACGCCCAGAGGGACGGCCUUGUGGGGACACAGGGAGCAGGCAGCGGCCACGCACCAAGGCGGGAGGCCUCAGAGGAGCCAGCCCUGCCGGCUCCCUGCACUUGGGCGUCUGGCCCCCAAGCGGCAGGAAAGGCAGUUUCUGCUGUUUGAGACCCCCGCCUGGGAUGCCUGCUUACAGCCCCCGGGCAGGCUGUAGACUGCCUGUGCUCUGUCUGCUUGCUCGCUUCCUGUCUCUGCAGGAGGCACACGGGCCUGACCGCACACCUGGAGGCGUGGUUGAGGGCGUUGGACGCUCCACUAACCUGUCUGUGGAUUGGAGUCAGCUGCUGGCGACGUUGUCAUGUGAAGCAUAGAGAUUUCGAGGUUUCUCUCUCACAGCCGUAGAACUCCCCCCCCCACCAAGUGCAGAUGCCUCAAAGCAGCUGCAGGGGCACAGGCGGCCCCGGGGAGAACAGCCGUGUCGCCUGGAAAAGAUGGGUGGGGUCGCCGGGGUGCCUCAUCCAUUGCCCCGUGGUCCUGGGGCUGGGAUGGAGCUUGUGCCAAAGCCAUGUGUGGCCACAAGAUACCACGAUCUGGGACCAAAAAUCCAGGGCGAGGGCUUCCUCUGAGACAGACUAAGGCCCGGCUACACCAGCAGCGGAGGGGCAGUGCGGACGUGGCGUGCUCGGGUGGCUGGCUGUUGGGGCCUUCACAGUGGGUGUGCUGAGCACAGCAUUUGGGACCAGGUACUUAACAAGUCAUCAGGGCACCGGUGACUGAGAGGGGGCGACCUGUGCUGGUCACUGAGCUGGAGGAUUUUCUCAUGGUCCAUGUGGUUCCUGCUGCUGGAAAGAGCUGCGUGGCCCGAGUCACUCAGAACUCCUGCCAGAAACGGCUCUUGGCCACAGACAAGUUCAGGGUCUGCCAUCCAAACCCAGGACCCCUGGCACGUCCUGAGGGCUGGGAGGGAGCCCCAGUCCAGGGCUGCUCUGGCCACCAAGCUGUCCCCUGCCUCUGAGGACUGUCCUGUGCUGGAGGCCAGCUCGAAGCCCAUUCCCUGGGCCCUAUGCCCUUCUGCGCUCAGAGGCCACUGAGCCUCCCUGCCCCCGUGAGGCCCAGUGGGUCGGACACGCUCGGACAGGGAGCCCCUUGGAGGGAAGGCUGGGGGGCAGUGCCUGUCCUCCACUUCCCCUUCUCCCUCCCUGGGACCGUGUGGUACAUGUUGGGGGGCUGAGCUGCCCUGGGGCAGCCAAGUCUGAACAUGUGCCCGGACCUGCACCGAGCUCUGCUGGCUCUCACCCAUCCUCGUUCAAUUAGUCAUGGGAUUCGGGGCAUUUGGCACCGCAGGUCCUCACCCACCAAUGGGAGCCCUGUACACGUCUCCUGAUGCCGACAGGGGCAGGGCUGCUGCUUGUCCCUCAAAAUCUGUCCCCCUGGGCUUUCUUGGGUGGAGGGAGCUCUGAGCUGGGCGUUUGGAUCCAGAAGUGAGGAUGAUGUCACCUGACUCCCUCACAGCACGUGGCUGCACACUGAGCCCCGCUGCGGCCGCCACGUGUCCGCGGUAACGCUGGCCUCUGUGCCUGUGUUCAUUGUUUCAUCUGAGCAAAACCCUAACUGGGCUGUGUCCCCGUCAUUGCUCUGCCUCUGUCGGAACAGAAGGGAGACCGCCCUUCCAAGGUCAGGCCGGGAAGACCCUGCCGUCCCCGCGGCCUCCGUCCCUUCACACACUUGGUCCGAGGGAAGCAGGUGUCGUCUGUGAGCCGCGGGCCGAUGUCGGCAGGGACAGUCCAGGCCCCCGGCCUGCCCACAACCUCGCGAGAGAGCUGGGUCCUGCCCCGGCCAGAGCUUCAGAUGAGGCGCAGCCCCGGCGGACGGCUCAGUGCAACCUGGCGGGAGACUGGAGGUGGAGACGCGAGAUUCCUGACCCGCAGAAAAAGCGUUUGUUGCUUUAAACCACUGCGUUUGGGGCAGUAGCCGUGCGACCGCAGAUAUAACUAACACACGGGUCAGAGGGACUCGCAUGAGGGCAGGAGCAGGCUCUGGCUGUGCUGUCAGCGGGAAGGGCCUCCCGGUCCCUGUCCCCUGCGCCGGUGGCUUCGUGGUGGGGGGGCCAAGGACCGUGCGCAGAGGGGCGCAGCUGGAGCCCACGGAGCGGGACGGCCGGAGCUGGGUGACUUGACGGUGCUGCACCGUCCAGCCAGCUCGUGCUUCGACAUAAACAGAAAUGGGCUUUCUUGUUUCGGCCACGGCAGUGCAGAGUCUCUCAUAAGGAAGCAAGCCUCCGUCGUGAGAAAGUGUCCUGAAUCCUGCAGGGUGGGAGAGCGCCUUUCCGACUGGGCCCACAGCUUCUGCGACGGGGUGUCAUUGAAAGUUUCCUGAGAGACGUGGGCCCGGACGGGAGCCGUCUGCUUCCUUCAGAGCCGUGGAUGAUGGACACGGCCUCUCGGCCUCGAUGGGCCGGGUUUGGGGCUGGCGGUGGUCACUUUCACCGGCGGCUCACCGAGCGGGGAGCGUGCAGGCGCUCGGCAGACGGGGGGAUGAAGUGCGUAUUCUCAUUGACAAGAAUUCUUUUGUACGUCAGGCUAAAUAGCUCUUUUCAAGAGAAAAAGAGAAGUGUUCACGUGGGAUCGUGUUUGUACCAAAAAUGAAGAGAGUGGCAUUUUUCAUGUGUCACAAAAGCGCAGCCACGUACGAGUUGCCGCCAUCUGCAGGGGCCACGCGGAUUCCUUCUGGAAGCCUCGUGAAAGGCCGGCGCUCCCUUGGGUGGAGCGCGAACUGAGAGCGUUUUCAUCCGCUGUGGAGAGUUAUGGGCUGUAGGGAGAGAUGGAGUCUGGACUGUGACUGCGGCUAUUUGCUUUUCUAAUCCUCAGAUUUAAUGCUGCAGAUUUUACAAACAGCUGAAAUAGGGCAGAUGUAAAAACAUCAUUGUCGUGGCCCGGCCUCAAGCCUGUCCAGUUUGGGACUGAAGCAGCCCUCUGCCAAGAAGUGUCUUGUGUCCUGUUUUCGUUUCUGACUUUGUCCCUGACUGCAGUCGUGCUGAAUGUGAGAACAGACUAAACACAAAUACCUGGGAAAAAAGAAACACCGAGUCAUCCGACGCAACUGAAGGUCUUAUCAACGAGGCUCAUUUUCCUGAAAUUACUUCAUUUAAUGCGGUAUCCCUUUAAGGAAACACCUCAACAGAUUUUGGGGAGAAUUGGACGUUUUUCUAAAGAUGCUUGGCGACGAACAUCUGGAAAUGACUGAGACUAUUUGGAAAAGAGUCUUAAAGGAAGACUCGUCUCACGUGAAUGAAAUGCAUUCUUGCAGAAAUGAAAUAGUUACCGUAAUAAAACAGUAUCGUAAUGAAGCCGUGUGGUCCUGGCCGGGGCACAGACCCGGAGACUGAUGGACUGGGACAGAGGAUCCAGCAGGAGGCUCACACAGAUAGGAAGUCGGUUGCUAUGUCAGCUCAGAAGUAAGAAAACACACCACCUAAUAAAAAUGCGCCCCAAGGAUGGAACGGGCACCUUGCCCAAGAAGAUACCCAGGUGGAAAUGAGCACACGCUCGGCCGCGAGAGCCGUUCCGACCACGGUGAGUUGCCACCCGCACCUACUGGAACAGGUUCAAACACCAAAACGCACAGUGCUGAUGAGAGCUACGGCAUCUGGAACGUGCACCCGCUGGGGGGUGCAAAACAGUGCAGCCGCUCCGCACAACUUUGUAAGAAACACUGCAGCCGCUUUGCGUUCAGGGGGGCAGUGUCUUACACCGUUAGGAACACCUGCCGCGUGCUGCUGUGCGCCCACUCCUGGGUUCUCAGCCAGGGAAUGAACACGUGGUGUUCACAGUGACGGGUGGAUGGCUGUCUCGGGCCACUUGGGCUGCCGUGAUGGAAGCCACAGGCUGCGGCUUAGACAACAGGCCUUUGCUCCUCCGAGGUCCGGAGGUCUGGACGUCCAGGGUCGAGGUGCCGGCCGGCCCAGGGUCUGGCGUGUCCUCGCCCUCAGAAGCGGCUGGCACCAUCUGUGACCUCCCAUGGCAGAAGGGAGCCCUCUGCGGUCUACCUUUAGGGCACGGAUCCCAUCGGGGGGGCCCUACCACCCUGCCCCGAUCCCCUCCAGAGCCCCCCUUCCUUAUUGCACUGCACUCUGGUGGGACCCCAGCACGAGUUUGGGGGGCACACAAGCACUUGGUCCAUAGUAGCGACUUCAUUCACAGUCACUGAGAGCAGAGACCCUCCCCAUCCUUCAGCUGCUCAGCGGAUGCACACGAUGGAUGGAUGGAGGCCAGGACCACAUGAUGGAGAAGGAGCCUCGCGCAGAGACACCGUCACCCCAUCCACAGGACCCAUGAGGUUGCAGGUUCGAUCCCUGGCCUUGCUCAGUGGGUUAAGGAUCCGGUGUUGCCGUGAAGAUGUGGCUCAGAUGUGCUGUUGCUGUGGCUGUGGCGUAGGCCGGCAGCUACAGCUCCGAUGAGACCCCUAACCUGGGAACCUCCAUG